rnacentral:rRNA from 1 species
GUAGGGAAUAUUGCGCAAUGGAGGCAACUCUGACGCAGCCAUGCCGCGUGCAGGAAGAAGGCGCUACGCGUUGUAAACUGCUUUUAACCGGGAAGAAACCCCAGGACGUGUCCUGGGUUGACGGUACCGGAGGAAUAAGCACCGGCUAACUUCGUGCCAGCAGCCGCGGUAAUACGAAGGGUGCAAGCGUUAUCCGGAUUCAUUGGGUUUAAAGGGUGCGUAGGCGGAGCGUUAAGUCAGUGGUGAAAUCCUGCAGCUUAACUGUAGACUUGCCAUUGAUACUGGCGCUCUUGAGUGCGCUUGAAGUGGGCGGAAUGUGCCGUGUAGCGGUGAAAUGCUUAGAUAUGGCACAGAACACCAAUUGCGAAGGCAGCUCACUAAGGCGAUACUGACGCUGAGGCACGAAAGCGUGGGGAUCGAACAGGAUUAGAAACCCCUGUAGUCC